rfam:Ovis aries breed Texel chromosome 2, whole genome shotgun sequence.
UCCCUGGUGGCUUAGAUGAUAAAGAAUCUGCCUCCAGUGUGGGAGACCCAGGUUCAAUUCCUGGGUUGGGAA